GUGCUCACUUUGGCAACGUAUAUGCUGAAAUUGGAACGAUGCCCGGAAGAUUAAGAUGGCCUACACAAAGAUGACCCACAAAUUCAUGAAGCAGUCUACAUUUUU
rnacentral:snRNA from 1 species